rnacentral:rRNA from 1 species
UACGAAGGGGGCUAGCGUUGCUCGGAAUCACUGGGCGUAAAGGGUGCGUAGGCGGGUCUCUAAGUCAGGGGUGAAAUCCUGGAGCUCAACUCCAGAACUGCCUUUGAUACUGGAGAGCUUGAGUCCGGGAGAGGUGAGUGGAACUCCGAGUGUAGAGGUGAAAUUCGUAGAUAUUCGGAAGAACACCAGUGGCGAAGGCGGCUCACUGGCCCGGUACUGACGCUGAUGUGCGAAAGCGUGGGGAGCAAACAGG